GACAGAGGUGCCAAGCGUUAGGCGGAAUCACUGGGCUUAAAGCGUGUGUAGGCGGGUGCCUAAGUACCUUGUGAAAGCCCCGGGCUUAACCUGGGAACUGCAUUUGAUACUACUGAGCUUGAGUACGGGAGAGGAUAGUGGAAUUCCCAGUGUAGAGGUGAAAUUCGUAGAUAUUGGGAAGAACACCGGUGGCGAAGGCGGCUAUCUGGACCGUAACUGACGCUGAGGCGCGAAAGCGUGGGGAGCAAACAGG
rnacentral:rRNA from 1 species